CACAAAUUAUUGGCAAUCCUUAAAAUGUUAAUAAAUAUGAUCAAAUAUCGCUUCUUCAAAUAGACCCAAAUAUAAAUCGUUCCAUGCAAAUAUCCAAGAAAUAUCAAAGAAUUUCAUAUUCAUCGAAAAUACUGAUAUUUCUGGUUUGUUUUCAGAUGUAGAAAAUGAAUAUAGUGACUGACAUCGAUGCUGGGUCCGGUAAUUUGCAACAAAAUCCGAGUUUGGGAGACACAAAUCAGGAUGAGGAAGAAAAAGUUGAACCAAGUCUUGGACAGAUAGAUCAGGAUGAGGAAGGGAACGUAGAACCGACUCUGGGAGAGAUAAAUCAGGAUGAGAAAGAGAAAGCAGAAACAAACCCGCGAGGAGAGACAGAAACGCAGAAAAACAAACUCACUGAAAAUGAUCAUCCAGUCAGAACAAUAACAGAUCUUACCCCGACAGAAGAAAGUGAUGGAAGAAAAUAUUUAGAAACGGAGUCAAACGAGGUUGUUGAAGAGUUCUCAACUGGAAAUAGAAAAAAAGAAACUAAAAACGCUGUCAAUGAAUAUGAUUCUACCAAAGACGAAACUGGUGAUGUCGCAGCUCCGAUAAAAAAAUCAACACUGCCAAUAAUAACAGUUCGAAACGUGAACGUUAUAAACGAAACUUGUGAUAACCCCUCUCCUUUUAGUCAACAAAAUAUUAAAGAAAUGCAGCAUGAAUCUUAUAUGCAUAUAUUAGAAUCUUCAAAUCGUAGACCCAGUGAAACGGAAAUCCUUGUUCCAGACGGAAAUAAUUUAAACGUUUCAAGCUCCAAGAAAGAUAUAAUGCAUGAUCCGCUCAGUACAGCUACACAAUCAAUUGAACAUCAAACUAGUAAACUAUUACCAUCUCCAAGCCAAAUUAACCUAGUUCGGCCAAGAUCCAUUUCCCCAGACUCAUUUUGGAAUAACUCAGUCACCUGCGAUGAGUUUUUUGCUGAAGAUAAGAGCUAUCCGGACAUAUUUGACCAGUCUGUUCAUCUGGAAAUUGUGGAACAAAGCUCAACCCAUAGUGUUUUGGGAACUGAAAACUAUUCUAUUUUAAGAAACCAGCUUAGUAAAUCUCCUUCAGCAGUUCCGGAGGUUUCUGCCAAAACACAAGUUUCAAAAGAGCUGUUGAAGUCAAGAAGUGGAGACUCUCCUCUUACACAUCAGCCAGGGUCGUCCAACUUCUUUACAAGUGAAAAUAUGCCAGUGAUAUCUCUAGAAUGUGUUGAUUUCCAAGAGUCCCAGGAAGCUAUAAACCCGUCUGAAGUUGCUACUCCUAGUCCUAGAAAGCGGAAAGGGUUUCCGAGCAUGCAUUUUAGUACGGCCAAGUCCUUUGUUAAAAUAGCUCCAAAGCCAACUCCAGGUGCUCCUAUACCCCCGCCUCCCCCUUACUCAGAGGAAGUUCCCGGAGGUGCUCCUAAGCCCUCUCCCCCUUAUUCAGAAGAAGUUCCUGUUUUGUAUCCGCUCAAGCCUAAUAUGAAGGCGAAACUAAACAUGAUAGCCCAGUUCUCUGUGUUAGUCAAACUACAGAGCACUGAAGGAUGUUACAUGGCACGGAUUGCUUUCUUCAAGGAAGGAACUUUCAUAUGGGGGGAUAAAUCUAAACACCAUGAGACAUUGGGCAAGCUUUUCUCUGAUUCUAAUGCUUGGGGAAACAUUGAAGCUCAUUACUCUCAUCAGAAUCCUAAAAGGAAGUCCUAUGAUGCAGUUUUCAUUAAUAUCAACAACAGGAUGGUCUCUGCCUUGAAGCAUGGAACGGCAAUGGAAGUUAUUUCCUCUAUUGAAGCCGGCCAAUCAGUGUUCUGUACGACAACUGCUCUAUCCAAAACUGACAGCUACUUUUUGAAUUUAAAAAAAGAAAGAUGGUUGGUUUACUCUUGUUUGAUCAGCGGGAUUCAGUCGGAAUUACUAAAAGAAUCUAAGAAUGUUGAUCUUAAACUUCUAAUCAGUAUUGUCAAGCGAAACAUCACCCCAAGUGCAUUAAAUUCGGAAGAAAUGCGCCAGAAUCUUGCUGAAUCUCCAAGUGAAGCAGAAGACAGUAAUGAUAUUGUGAUAGUUAAAGAACUUAACUUGGCUCAAGAGAUCAUCGUCUUGGAGGAGAUGUGCGCAAAAUAUCCAACUCUAAAGGUCAAAGAAGCAGUGGCUCUCACAACCUGUUUUAUUUGUGGCAAAGAUUGUAAUCAUGCCAUAGCAUUGCUCUACCAUCUUUCAACAUCAAACAAGUGCAAGCAGAUGAAACCACUCAAAGUUGUUUUUCAGGAUACAGAAAAGAAGAUUGAUGCCAAGAUUUCUUGUAAGCUGCAUGUUUGUAACUUCAAACACACGCAGGAUCUAUGUUCGAAGAAGUUCCGAACAGCUUUGACCUACGGUAUUCACAGGGACUCUCACAUCAACCUCAACUGUAAGAUGAGUUGCUGGAAGUGUAGCCAUUUGUUCUUUGCCCCAUAUCCUUUCUAUCGUCAUCCAUGUGUUGCAAAUUUCUAUAGUUUGAAAAUGGUUAUUCUACAACAGAAGAUAUUUAAGGUUCAGUACCCUGGCUUGGCAGCUCAAGAAGUUUCCACUAUAAUCACUUGUCCUGCUUGUGGUAAAUCAUAUCGAUAUUUGUCUGCACUAGCUGGGCAUAUAUCAUUUAAUGUGAAUUGUGCAUUAAAAUUGAUCAGAAAUUCUGGAAGAGUCUCCUUAGAUUUGAGCAAGUGUUUAUUAGCGGAUAGAUGUAUUCCAAUAAUUAGUAGGAACUGUGAGAUCUGUUCCCUUUCAUGCAAAUCCCAGGUGUCCUAUCUCGCCCACAUGGAUCACCAUUUUACUGGAAUUAACUACGAGUGCUCAGUUUGCAAUUUUACAUUUAUCAGGGUUUGUGCUUUUUACAAGCACACUUGCCAUCAACCUAUCCCAUUCUGUAUAUUUUGUGAAGCUGAUAAAGAUGCUAUUGCAGAGAGAGACUCUCAUUCCAUCAAAACAGCUGAGAAUUCUAACGUUUUAAAAGUACUACAAGAAUCCAGCAGCCAAAAGCAGUCCUUUGAUGUGGAUUCACCCUCAAAGAAAUCCGACCAACAGAUGAAAAUAUCUAAAAAACAUCAAAAUUCCGUAAAAGAUGUUGCAUUAGCUACUAAUGAAAUUGUUCAUUCCUCGCUUCAAAAUUCACAAACAAUUGUAUCCAAUGCCAAUACUAUAAACCAUUAUGGCCCAAGUAAACUUUCUUUCACUACGGCAGGCAUAGAAACAUAUUCUAAAUAUACUUCUACAAGUACACACAUAACAUCCUGUGGCCAAGCCACAUAUCUUCCCUUAGUGAAUUCAACCCCUAUACCAGCUCUGCCACAAUCCUUCCCUUUGAACACCAGCUCAACACUUCUAACUGCAAGGAUCCAACCUGGGCUAAAACGAGCUGGAGAAUCUCUUGAUACUAAUCCAUCCAAGGUUUCUAGAAUUGAUAUUGACAAGUUGUUUGAAGAAAGUGAUUCAGAUGAUGAUGAAGAUUCUCUUGUGCAACUAGUGAUCCCAACUAUCAACCAGAUACCUGCUAGUAAUCCUAAGUCUUGUAACAAAAAUAGUUUGGCAGAAUUUCUUUCAGAAUCUGAAGAUUCGUCAAAUCCUGAGUCAAAGUCUUCUCAAGAUCCAGAAUUAAGAAUAUUUGACGAUUCAGGGACCAUGCCUAAAGAGGAUUCAGGGACCAUGCCUAAAGAGGAUUCAGGGACCAUGUCUGAAGAGGAUUCAGGGACCAUGCCUGAAGAGGAUUCCAGGACCAUGCCUGAAGAGGAUUCAGGGACCAUGCCUGAAGAGGAUUCAGGGACCAUGCCUGAUGAGGAUUCAGGGACCAUGCCUGAAGAGGAUUCAGGGAUAAUGCCUGAAGAGGAUUUAGGGACCAUGCCUGAAGAGGAUUCAGGGACCAUGCCUGAAGAGGAUUCAGGGACCAUGCCUGAAGAGGAUUCAGGGACCAUGCCUGAAGAUGAUUCAGGGACCAUGCCCGAAGAGGAUUUAGGGACCAUGCCUGAAGAGGAUUCAGGGACCAUGCCUGAAGAGGAUUCAGGGACCAUGCCUGAAGAAGAUUCAGAGACCAGUUCCAUUGAGAUAGGACCUGAAGCUGGGAAUUAUGGUUCUAAUGAUAUUACUGACAACGAUGAGAUCCUGGAGAACUUGUCAGACUGCUAUAUCUGUCACAACUGUGACCCAAUACAGCUGCUUAGGGGAGUGGACGGAUUAGCAGAUCACUGCUCUAGCUGUCCUGAUCAUGAAAAUAUACAACCUGUCUGGCUUUUUGAUCAGGUAAAAGUAAUGGUUACUGAUCUUGUUCAUCAAGCUAGACACAAGGAGAAAAUUAGGAAUCUCACGAAAAGAAGGAAAAUGGAGAAUUAGAGAGAUACAAAAGUGUCUGGUUCUGUGAUAUCUGUCUGUGGCUAAAUCAGUCAACUAUAAUUUUUCUGAAUUUAUAUUAAAUGUUUAGGAAUUAAAAAAUUGAGCUUUGAAAACGUAAUCUGUACUUUUUUAUUUAUAACAUGUUUUCAUACGUUUCUAUUUGUUGUUCAGUUCGGCCUUAAUAAAAAAGUCCCAACUAAAUUUAUCUAUUUAAAAUCAGUUAGCAGAAAAAAUUUGAAAGAAACAUAGUCAUCUAUCUAGUUCAACGAUCAGUAAUUUUAUAUUUUAUGUAACCUUAUAAAAUAUUUCAGAA
rnacentral:misc_RNA from 1 species